rnacentral:sRNA from 1 species
GUUUUGUUCAAAGGGGAGUAGCUCUUGCAGUAAAGUCGUCAUUUCGAGAUUAUUAUCUCCGGCUUUAUUGACAAUGCAAAUUGUUAGCGAGACCUUUGCCAAUGUU